rnacentral:rRNA from 1 species
GAUGAACGCUGGCGGCGUGCCUAACACAUGCAAGUCGAGCGAUUUACUUCGGUAAAGAGCGGCGGACGGGUGAGUAACGCGUGGGUAACCUGCCCUGUACACACGGAUAACAUACCGAAAGGUAUGCUAAUACGAGAUAAUAUACUUUUAUCGCAUGGUAGAAGUAUCAAAGCUCCGGCGGUACAGGAUGGACCCGCGUCUGAUUAGCUAGUUGGUAAGGUAACGGCUUACCAAGGCGACGAUCAGUAGCCGACCUGAGAGGGUGAUCGGCCACAUUGGAACUGAGACACGGUCCAAACUCCUACGGGAGGCAGCAGUGAGGAAUAUUGGGCAAUGGGCGAAAGCCUGACCCAGCAACGCCGCGUGGAGGAUGAAGGCUUUAGGGUUGUAAACUCCUUUUGUGGGGAAAAGAAUGGAUGGUACCCCAAGAAUAAGUCACGGCUAACUACGUGCCAGCAGCCGCGGUAAGGCGUAUGUGU